AAGGCCUUAAACUUGCUAUUAACUUGUUGAAUAGCAAAGACGUGGAUGAGGCUUUCAGAGCCCACAUCAAUCUAAAGGUAUUGAGAUCUGGGAUGAUGGGUUCUGCGGUGGGGUCGGUGAUGGGUUGCAUCUUCUUGGUGCUUUCAAUGGUGAAUGUGAUUCAGAUUCGGUUGGGGAUGUUGUCAUGUGGAAGCAAGAGUGCGGUUCACGCGGUUACAGCAUUGGUCCU
rnacentral:misc_RNA from 1 species